CGUUGAAACACUGAUUCUCGUACGAUAACCUAAGUUAAGCAACGUCGAGCCUGGUCAGUACCUAGAGAGGUGACUGUCUGGGAAUACCAGGUGCUGUAAG